CGUUGCCAUGGGAACGCAGCGGCGCCCCAGCGGAACCGAGCGUUUAUUACCUGAGAAUGGGCCGCGCGGACGCCGCCCCUCCCCCCGACCCCGGCCGAUAGACGCGCAUCCUCCAGGUCCCCGUCAGCCUUUCGGGGAAAGCAGAAAUCAGAUGCUGUGCGAAGGACCCUUUGCAAAAGCUUCAGCCUGCUGGCCGAGCCGGACGCCCCGGGUGGAGGCCCCUGCGGGAUCGGCCGGCGCAGCCCUUGCUUCGUCGCCAAUCCGGCUAGCCACCCAGGUCCGGGGUGCGAUGCGGGGUGCAGAGAGCCUCUUUCGCUUCGCCGACGCCCUAGGACCACGCCAGAAGGAGGAACGCAGCGGGGCGCCCCGCAGAUGCAGACAGAACCCCGACGUGGGCAUUUUUGCAGAACUAUCCCAAAGCCAAGCGGCGUUGACUACUACUACUCGCCCCUCAGGCUCUCUAAGAAGAGGGAGGGAGCGUAAAAGACACUCACCCCUCAGUCCUAGUUAUUGGAACAUGUUCCCAACACCCUGGCUGUCCCAGUGGCUGGAAGCUUAUUGCAGGAAGAUUUGCUACUUAGGAUUCCUCGUGUCCUCAGUCCAAUGACAUGAAGAAUACUGGCAUGAGGAGAAUCUGUAUCUGUGGCCAUCGUGAAAGGUGCAGUGGUAGGUGUGGAAGAAGCAACAUGAAGUUGAUGGAACUGCCAUUCCCAAGAAAGUGAUGGUGAGCAGAGCGUGCCCUGCAUUGUGAGAAGCACUAUGAUGGAUGUGAGUGCCCCAUGGCCCUCGAAGGAUUCCCCGAAUUCACUUCUGGAAAGUCAAACUUCCUCAGGUCCCCCAUUCAUGACAUCUUACACUUAAAAAUCACACACAAAUAGAAUACUGAUCCUCUUAAUGCCGAAGAGAUAGGACCUGUGUCUCAGGGCAGCCCUCUUUACUAAGCACAGCCCUACUGUGUUUUUUUUUUUUUUUUUCUCAAAAGAAACAUCAGCUUACUAU
ensembl:lncRNA